rnacentral:lncRNA from 13 species
GUCCGCACCUUUGGGUAUUUCUAUGUUUCGGCCUAGUAUGUUUCUCAAUCAGAGGCAGGUGUCAUUAGUUGUCUCUGAUUUGAGAAUCAUACUUAGGUAGCCUUGGUUUCACUGUGUUUGUGGGUGUUUGUUUCUGUGUUUUUCACCACACGGUACUGUUUUGGGUUUCGUAUUAAAAGAACCAUGGACACUUACCACGCCGCAUAUUGGUCCUCUGAUCCUUUUCGCCUCUCCUCUUCGGAAGAAGAGGAGGAAAUCCCUUACAGGUAAGCCCCAACAAGAUUCACAUGUGCAUUGAGUGUGGGAAACUGCUCUACAAAUGAGAUAUUAUUAAUAUUAUUAAGACAGAAAAAUACACAUCUAAAAGCUUGAUUACAUAAAUUAAUAUUAGUGUUCGAAAAAUACUAAAAUUGUAAAAUACAUUGAGAUGAAGCUGUCCGUGUGUGGAUCCUAUUUCUCAAAAGUGGUUAUUGUGCUAUUUUAUGGGGGAAGUGGAGAAAUAAAACAAGUAGGCUGCAGAGUACGCAACAUGGUCUCAGCAUUUUGUAUUAUUCUAUACGUAAAGCUGAGACACUCCAUUUAGCAUGUUACAUUUCGUAUGGUAUGUAUUAACGAGCAAUGACUACCUUGCGCACCAAUCAUUUUAGCGACGCUUCGUUGAUAGACUGUAUUUCUGCCCAAUGACCACUGAUCUUCUUGAAAUCUAGCUGGGUAGAUAGCCAAUGAGCUGAGGUAAACGCCAGUAUGUAAUGGUUUUGGAUUGGACCACCAUUCCUUGUUUGUAAAUGCAUGCGUAAGGAACUACAUUCUCGCCUUGACGAUCAGGGGAGUUGCUGUGAGGCUUGUUACGCGCAGCUGUAUUUCGGAAAGUUGUAUUUUCAACGAUUUCAUUGAAGAUAUCAUGGCGAAUAAAUCAGGAAAAGCGAAUUCUAAAGUGAAAGUGAGAGAUUUUUUGUUUGAGGAAUCUUUGAGUGUUAUGAUUCAAACAGGAACUGAGGAGCUGUUUCUGCAAGGACAGGACAUACUUCUGGACGGAUUCCCAAAAUGUCUCAGACUCCAGGAAUGGGAAAAUGCUUACAAGAAAGAAACGGAUGAAGACAGAGACUGAGUUGUCGAUUUCCAUUGUUUCUUGUAAUGUUAAAAAUGGAAGAAAAAGACAAUCCCGUUUUUCUAAAUUAGCUAGCUAUCUAGGCUACUCACCAUACUAUAGGCUACAGAUUUGAGUCACCUCUAAAAUAGUUAUUUUUAUGUUAUUGAGUAGACCUAUAUAUCUUUGUUUAAUGUAAUUCAUCUAAUUAUUAAUCUAACAGCUGUGAACGAUCUGAGAGACAAGGCAAGAAGGGCAUUCUAUGCCAUCAAAAUCCUUAUUGUUUUGUAAGAAAUAUAAGGUAUUUUUUACAUGUUGCAAUAAAAUUUACUAAAAUAGAAGCUCUUAUUUGUUUGUAGGUAUUUUCAAUUGGUAAUGAGUAAUUAUAUAGAAAUGUAUCAUAGGUAUCUAUAAAGUUACACUUCACUUCAAAUAGCUAAAUCCUGUGUAAGAACUAUCGACAACUUUGUA